GACGAACGCUGGCGGCGCGCCUAACACAUGCAAGUCGAACGGAGCUGAGAGAAGCUUGCUUUUCUUAGCUUAGUGGCGAACGGGUGAGUAACGCGUGAGUAACCUGCCCUGGAGUGGGGGACAACAGUUGGAAACGACUGCUAAUACCGCAUAAGCCCACGAUCCGGCAUCGGAUUGAGGGAAAAGGAUUUAUUCGCUUCAGGGUGGACUCGCGUCCAAUUAACUAGUUGGUGAGGUAACGGCCCACCAAGGCGACGAUUGGUAGCCGGACUGAGAGGUUGAACGGCCACAUUGGGACUGAGACACGGCCCAGACUCCUACGGGAGGCAGCAGUGGGGGAUAUUGCACAAUGGGGGAAACCCUGAUGCAGCGACGCCGCGUGGAGGAAGAAGGUUUUCGGAUUGUAAACUCCUGUCGUUAGGGACGAUAAUGACGGUACCUAACAAGAAAGCACCGGCUAACUACGUG
rnacentral:rRNA from 1 species